CCUACGGGAGGCUGCAGUGGGGAAUAUUGGACAAUGGGGGGAACCCUGAUCCAGCCAUGCCGCGUGUGUGAAGAAGGCCCUCGGGUUGUAAAGCACUUUCAGUGAGGAAGAACGCCUGGUGGUUAAUACCCAUCAGGAAAGACAUCACUCACAGAAGAAGCACCGGCUAACUCCGUGCCAGCAGCCGCGGUAAUACGGAGGGUGCGUGCGUUAAUCGGAAUUACUGGGCGUAAAGCGCGCGUAGGUGGCUUGAUAAGCCGGUUGUGAAAGCCCCGGGCUCAACCUGGGAACGGCAUCCGGAACUGUCAAGCUAGAGUGCAGGAGAGGAAGGUAGAAUUCCCGGUGUAGCGGUGAAAUGCGUAGAGAUCGGGAGGAAUACCAGUGGCGAAGGCGGCCUUCUGGACUGACACUGACACUGAGGUGCGAAAGCGUGGGUAGCAAACAGGAUGAGAGACCCCUGUAGGC
rnacentral:rRNA from 1 species